AGAAUCAACGCUGGCGGCGUGCCUAACACAUGCAAGUCGAACGCGAAAGCCCCGCAAGGGGCAAGUAGAGUGGCAAACGGGUGAGUAACACGUGGGUGACCUGCCUUCGAGUGGGGGAUAACGUCCCGAAAGGGACGCUAAUACCGCAUAACAUGCUGUUUUGAACAGAUGGACAUCAAAGCUGGGGACCGCAAGGCCUGGCGCUUGAAGAGGGGCCCGCGCCUGAUUAGCUAGUUGGUGGGGUAAUGGCUCACCAAGGCUUCGAUCAGUA
rnacentral:rRNA from 1 species